GGUAGAUACAAUUUUCUGUGCAAAAAUCUCAAUAUCUGCAAUAAUACACUACAUGCAACGCAAGCAAUGACCUUCUCAUUUUUAUUAUUAAUAUUUGGUAUUGUAGCAUUGAUAUCUAUCUAUGUAUGUAUCUAUCUAUCUAUCUAUCUAUCUAUCUAAUACAGCAGAGAGAAUAAUGAACAUGUAUUGAUACAAAAGGAACAGAAGACCCUGUCAGGG